rnacentral:rRNA from 1 species
UGGGGAAUUUUGGACAAUGGGCGCAAGCCUGAUCCAGCCAUGCCGCGUGAGUGAAGAAGGCCUUCGGGUUGUAAAGCUCUUUCGGACGGGAAGAAAUGGCGGGCUCUAACAUAGCCUGUCGAUGACGGUACCGUAAGAAGAAGCACCGGCUAACUACGUGCCAGCAGCCGCGGUAAUACGUAGGGUGCGAGCGUUAAUCGGAAUUACUGGGCGUAAAGGGCGCGUAGGUGGUUAAUUAAGUCAGAUGUGAAAUCCCCGGGCUUAACCUGGGAAUUGCAUUUGAAACUGAUUGGCUAGAGUACGGGAGAGGGAAGUGGAAUUUCCGGUGUAGCGGUGAAAUGCGUAGAUAUCGGAAGGAACACCAGUGGCGAAGGCGACUUCCUGGCCCGUUACUGACACUGAGGCGCGAAAGCGUGGGGAGCGAACA